UGGGAACGCGAAGAACCUUACCUAGACUUGACAUCCCCUGAAUUACCUGUAAUGAGGGAAAUCCCUUCGGGGACAGGGAGACAGGUGGUGCAUGGUUGUCGUCAGCUCGUGUCGUGAGAUGUUGGGUUAAGUCCCGCAACGAGCGCAACCCUUAUCAUUAGUUGCUACCAUUAAGUUGAGCACUCUAAUGAGACUGCCCGGGUUAACCGGGAGGAAGGUGGGGAUGACGUCAAAUCAUCAUGCCCCUUAUGUCUAGGGCCACACACGUGCUACAAUGGUGAGUACAACGAGAUGCGAACCCGCGAGGGGGAGCUAAACUCAAAAACUCAUCUCAGUUCGGAUUGCAGGCUGCAACUCGCCUGCAUGAAGUCGGAAUCGCUAGUAAUCGCGGAUCAGCAUGCCGCGGUGAAUACGUUCCCGAGUCUUGUACACACCGGGUCUUGUACACACCG
rnacentral:rRNA from 1 species